AGGGACGCAGUGGGAGGAAAACGAAAUGAGCGUUUUCCUCUCUCCUCCCUAAAGCAUCUCGGCGUGGGGGGAAUUUGGGAGAGUGGGGAACUCAAACGCAAAGUUGACGAACUUUGCACAUCUUUUACAAACGCCAUUUUGGUUCCUCUCCGGAACAACUUUUGCAGCUUCUUUCUUUCUUUUAUUUUUUUCUUUCUCUCUCUCCUCAGCUCAUCAUCACCAUCAUCAUCAUGUCUCGGCGAAAGCAACCCAACCCCAACAAAGUCAAGCUGUGAGCAGUGGUUGCUGACACACGAGGUGCACUGCGGUCCCUCUUCAACCCUCGAACGGCAGCAGAAUAACACAACCUCGUCUGAGGACGGGUGUUCGGUAGGACGUUGAGCUGGUGCUGAGGCAUGGUUGUGUGGGCCUGAGGCCUCUUUGUGAGGCAAGGCAGUUCGUCAUCCACCGAAAACCUGUUUUGAGUGGCUGCAGAGAUGAAGAAGAUACCGGGAUUUCACCGUAAACAACAGCCGCACAAAAAGACUUCAG